UAAGUGCUUCGUUCUCACAACACACAUGUGACAGAGAUUCACAACAUGAGAAACAUGCCUUUGGUUUAAAAUCAGUUAAACUGUCAAUGUCCUCAGAGUCAGACCAUCUUAGGAGAUUCUCUGAGUUUAGUUAAGCUUAAUAUGCAUAGUGAAUGCAAAACUCUGUCGGUUUACUUGUCUGAUCUUUCAGAUGUAUAUACAUCAACAUUGAGCUAUAGUUAAUUUUAUAGAAAUGCUUGUCUAUUCUGUGUUUGUCUAAAGUAUUAUUUAAUCUAUACUGUUUGUGUAUGUUGCAGUGAUGAUCUGUGUCCAUUUUGCGUAUUAAACACCCACCCGAAUAACCAAAGGGGGCAGAGUCUGUGGACACAAUUUGCCCUAUCUUCAGUUCCUCUUGUCUGUCCUCCACAAGCAGAGACUCACUGAUAGACCACUGUUACCAGUUCUAGUGUUGACACAUCCACCCACGUCCCCACCACAAGUGUAUCCUGUACAGACACAGAACAUUGAGGGAAAAACAGAGAUGCUGUUGUCUGCUGCCUCAUUAACUACCUCGGUGAAAGACAAGAAGAUCUUUUCCAUGACUGCCAGUAGGAAUGUGAGGACUACACAGACAGAACAAAGAAGGUGAUUGUGAAGCACAAUGUCAUGGCUGAGGAGGAUCCAUCAGAUUUGUCUAUUGUGAUCCAGAGAAAACUAAGUGAUGGAAGGAUGUGGAAGCCGAACAAAGGCAUGCAUACUGCUGAUGGGACUCAUUUAUGCAAUCAACAUCGAAUAUCCAAAGGAGCUGAAGAACACGUUUGAAGCUUUUCAAAAACUUUUUUUUGGAAAUUGAUGGAGAAAAACUACUGAAAAAGGUCCACAGCCUCAAAAAUAAGCUCAUGCAGUAGACACACAUUUUCCCUCUUGUUCGAAGAGGAUCUUUUGUCUGGACAUACUUUUAAUGGAGUUGUAAUGGAGUGUAGUUUUAUAUUUUUCUUAUUUUCCCUUAUUUGCUCCACACACAGACACAAAUCUAUCCAGCCCACUCCAUUACUCUGUGAUUUCCCCCAGAUUGACAGAAAAGGAAUACCAAUGCAAAGUUAUAAAACAGGGGUCAUUACUUGAAAUUGUGGUGUAAAGCUGUUGUGCUGCACUAUAUUUUGAGUGUUUCACAGGAUUUUUUGGAUUAAAAAUAUUGAUCUGAUGAGCCAUCUGAAUGUCUUUAUUGUGGGGGGUACAUUUUACCUUUUCUGAAUAAAUAAUUGUUAUUAACUAUUAACUGAUUUGAAGAGAUAAUUUUUACCUAAUUUUAAUGAGUAAGUAGCUGUUGAAUAUAUACAUAAAUGUGAGGUAUUGUUACCCAAUUUAUGCAAGUAUUUAAUAGCUUUUUACUUGAGAUAGCUUAUACUC